rnacentral:sRNA from 1 species
UAGAGGUGGUGGGGACAGGAACGGAGCCAAGGCAGCAGAGGUGGGAGGCGGGAGGGAAACCAGCU